rnacentral:rRNA from 1 species
AUGAACGCUAGCGACAGGCCUAACACAUGCAAGUCAGGGGCAGCACAAGGAGCAAUCUGAGGUGGCGACCGGCGCACGGGUGAGUAACACGUAUGCAACCUGCCUGUAAGCGGGGAAUAACCCGUUGAAAGACGGACUAAUACCGCAUAAUACUAAAUUACUGCAUGGUAAUUUAUUUAAACAUUUAUGGCUUACAGAUGGGCAUGCGCAUGAUUAGCUAGUUGGAGAGGUAACGGCUCCCCAAGGCAACGAUCAUUAGGGGUUCUGAGAGGAAGGUCCCCACACUGGUACUGAGACACGGACCAGACUCCUACGGGAGGCAGCAGUGAGGAAUAUUGGUCAAUGGACGAGAGUCUGAACCAGCCAAGUCGCGUGCAGGAAGAAUGUCCUUAAUGGAUUGUAAACUGCUUUUGCAGGGGAAUAAAGUGCAUCACGUGUGAUGUUUUGUAUGUACUCUGCGAAUAAGGAUCGGCUAACUCCGUGCCAGCCGCUGC